rnacentral:lncRNA from 1 species
GUGCCGAGCUAGUCAUAUGCGUGGCGAGCGCUUUCUCGUCGAGGCUUGGAGGCGGGCUGCCACUGCCCAGCAGCUUGCGUAACGUAGAGGAAACGCGAAACGGAGGUCGAGGAGCUGGUGCGCGUAGUGCUGCAGGUUUGACAAAAGGAAAUAAAUAGAUACUCUUUAUAAAAAAAAAGAUAGAUACUAGUUUAUUUGGCACCAAUUUUUUUUCCGCAAAGUUUGGCUGGUUUGAGACUUGAGUCCAUGCGGUAGAUUUGGCACACCACAGCUUUGCGUCACUCGUCACAUCCCACAAGAAGCAUGGCCUGCCACAAUCACAACUAAUUAAGGGGUGUUUGGAUACAAGGUACUAAAUUUUAGCAGUGUCACAUCGAAUGUUCAAAUGCUAAUUAGAAGAACUAAAUAUAAGCUAAUUACAAAACUAAUUGUACAGAUGGAGUCUAAUUCCCGAGACGAAUCUAUUAAGGCUAAUUAAUCCAUUAUUAGCAAAUGAUUACUGUAGCACUACAUUGUCAAAUCAUGGACUAAUUAGGCUUAAUAGAUUCGUCUCGCGAAUUAGACUCCAUGUGUGCAAUUAGUUUUGUAAUUAGACUAUGUUUAUUACUCCUAAUUAGUAUCAAACAUCCGAUGUGAUAUGUGUUAAAGUUUAGCAAAGGUAUCCAAACAUAUGCCAUGUCCCAGGCACACGGAUCAUCCCAUCUCGCCCAGUAAAUUCAACGGAUCAAUCAAAGUUCCCUGCCGCCAGCCAACAACGAGAAACCACCCGGACGCCCAGGAAAAGAGGCGAAAACGACGACACGCCGCAGGAACCAGGGCAGGGGAUGACCGCCGCACAGAGAUCCUAGAUUCCCAGCCCGCCCUGACGCUACGCUGUUCGGCAGAGCAAUCGCGUGCCGUGCCAGUCAGCCAGUGCCACCGAUGGGCCCAGCAAGCCCGCAGGCUCACCGGCCAGUUCGGUGGCGCUGCCGCCGGUGGCCGUGUAGACGGGCACGAUCCACAGCGGGCGCGUGCAGGAGGACCCAAGGCGGAGGCAAAGGCACGGCAGCGCAGCAGGAGCCCGGUGACAGGUCGAGGACGAUCUGCCUGGGCGAACACUGGACAUGUUGGGGUGGGUGGCUGGGAGCCAUGUGACGUGAGACCAUGUCACGCCAGCUGUGGGAAGCGAGGAACAGCAUCGUGCACAUACUCAUGAUAAAAGGACAAUUGAUUUAUAUAAUACUCCCUCCAUCCCAAAUUAUAGGUCGUUUUAGCAUUUCUAUAUGCAUAAUAUUUGCUAUACACCUAAAUAUAGCAUAUGUCUAUAUGCAUAAUAAUAUCUAUGAACUAAAAAACUAAAACGACCUACAAUUUGGAAUGGAACGACCUACAAUUUGGAAUGGAACGGAAGGAGUAGAGUAAUAGACGCUCUGACAAACGCAAACCAAAAGUUGCAAUGGCGUCGCAGCAUCGGGUAAAACAGAAUAGGACCAUAGAACAUGAAAACAUAUCAAAAGGUUUACAAGGAAAAAGGGAGCACAUAAAGGACAUUCAAAGGGUGUUUAGCCGAGGGAUUGACCUUAGGCAUUCUCGGAAUCUUUUUCAAAUCUAAGAUAAACCCAACAAAUUUGAACCAGAACUCCCCUAUCAAACGAGCCACCAUGCAUGCUAUACACUUCUUUUUCUUGUAGAUAUUUUCUCAGACUAUUCAAUAAAACAGAAUGUGCAACUCCAGGCCAUCAGCCAGCCAUGAAUACAUGAGCAUAACUAUAGCAACACACAUAUUAUCUCCAGCAGUAUAACAUGUCAUAAGUCAACUAAAUAGUGGGUAAGGCUCAGCAACAACCCUCUGAAAUAGGUAAGCACAGUAAUGACAGCACUGGAAGACUAGACAGAAGCGGCGUGAUCUGAAACACCCCUUAGCCACUAUAGUGUGCUGUGUGCGUAGCCAAAAUUUGCUGAACUCAUAAGCUAACAAAAUAAGUUAGGCGAAAAGACGACAGAGAGUGACUAAUAAGUAAACCAGUUAAUAAGAAACAGAAUUUAGCUUUCAUAUCCCUAUGAUAAGAUAAACACGAGAGAAGAUCUUUCUGCAACCAGCGUGCCUCAUUGGCUGGUAAGGGUAGGCACAGAGCAGCAGCAAACAGCAAACUGGCAAAAGUCUGUAUGAUUCGUUGGACCAAUAUUUUAGCUUGAGUUCAAUGCUCAAUAGAAUUAGAAGCUAUCCGCAAACAAUAUUCAGGGGUCCAUGUGUUAUUUCUGAACUAGAGACUGAUUUGGUGAUUUCAUUGAGUACAGAUUUGCACAUACAAUUUACUAUCAAGGAAAAUACAGAUCUGCACAUACAAUUUACUAUCAAGGAAAAUUCAUCUGAUGGCAAACGUCAGGUUUCCUCAGUAUGCAUGGUGAUCGCACAAAUCGAACAGGUCGGAAGGAACUAAGGCAACCAGCUCCACUCUACCUAGUAAACUAGUAAAGAGGAAGAACUUCAUACCACACUGAGCAGAUAUUACCUAGCAAAGAGGUAAAAAGGCUAAACUGAGAACAGCACUGCAAGCAAAUUAGAACAUUGCUCCAACCUGCAGGCUUCAAUUCGGCUGUCUUCAGCUUUAGUUUAGGCGUCUUCUCUUGUUCUGAUGUAGGUCCCCACCAUCUACAUCCAAAGAACCUAAGGCAUCACCUCCUCUCCUCCUCCUCAGGGAUCGUGAAGACCCUGCAUUACUAGGUUCUCC